rnacentral:sRNA from 1 species
UAGUAUCGCUUGUAGGUCAGUGUUGCU